GACGAACGCUGGCGGCGUGCUUAACACAUGCAAGUCGAACGCUGAAGCUCAGCUUUUGUUGGGUGGAUGAGUGGCGAACGGGUGAGUAACACGUGAGUAACCUGCCUCCUUCUUUGGGAUAACGCCCGGAAACGGGUGCUAAUACUGGAUAUUCACUGGUCUUCGCAUGGGGGUUGGUGGAAAGGGUUUUUCUGGUGGGGGAUGGGCUCGCGGCCUAUCAGCUUGUUGGUGGGGUGAUGGCCUACCAAGGCUUUGACGGGUAGCCGGCCUGAGAGGGUGACCGGUCACAGUGGGACGGAGAUACGGCCCAGACUCGUACGGGAGGCAGCAGUGGGGAAGAUUGCACAAUGGGCGCAAGACUGAUGCAGCGACGCCGCGUGAGGGAUGGAGGCCUUCGGGUUGUGAACCUCUUUCGCUCAUGGUCAAGCCGCAACAAUGGUUGUGGUGAGGGUAGUGGGUAAAGAAGCGCCGGCUAACUACGUG
rnacentral:rRNA from 1 species